AGUCGGUUGCGAGGCAGCGUUGGGUCAGUUGCACCUUCGGGGUCGCUGGUAGCCGCGGGAGCCGGGUGGGGCCUCGGUGAUGAUCCGGCGUUAAGAACUUGGAGUCACCUUGGGUCUAAGGUGUUUUGGAGGGAGUGUAGAGGCAACCCAAAAGAUCAUCUACUCGACUAGACCUCUUGCCCUGAACCUCAUGAAGAAAUGAUAGGAGGCAGGUACCCUGAGCUCAAAGGACGGCAGCGCAGAGUUCUGGGAGUGCACUUUGAGUUCCACCAGAUGCAGGAGUCUGAGCAAUUCUCAUUGCUCAGAGUGAUUGAAAUUAAUAACAGAAGUCUUAGAGCGCACCUGUGAAGCUCAUGCUGACAAGUAUCUCACUGAAAGUAUGUAAUCCUAGCUGGGGAUUUGUAUACAUCAAUGGCAGAGUCAUCCAGUGAUUCAGACCACGUCCGCUAUCGUGACGGAUUGAGUCGAUGGGCAACCAGGUCAUUUCAAAGGGGAGUUGGAAGUCAUUCUACAGUAGAUGUCACCGCAAAGGUCAACACCAUAACCAAUACUUUACAGGACACCACUCGGAAUCUGCGACAUGUGGAUCAGAUGCUUGGGCGCUAUCGCGAAUACAGCACUGGACAGGCGGGCGCUGUUGGGCAGGUGGGAAGGGCUCAGCUGUUUGCCUUGUCUGGUCGCCACAUGCAGAUGUGUAUUUAGGGGAGUAGGCGUAUAGGAUAAGUAGGUAACAAGAUGAAAGUGCGUACUUAGGGGACUGGGAGUAUAAGAUUAAUAGAUAUCCAUGUUAAUAAGAAUACAUUUUAAACUGCCUUACUGGGGCUGGAGAUAUGGCUCAGUGGUUAAGAGCACUGCCUGCUCUUCUAAAGAAGUUAAGUUGAAUCCCAGUGGGAAAUCUGAAAUCUGAGUUCUUUUACUAAGUUUAAACUGAAAACUGUAAGGUAGUUUGAAGAAUUUAUUUAUUUUAUUUUAUGUGCGUUGACAUGUGGGUAUCAGAUCCCUUGGAACUGGGGUUACAGACAGUUGUGAGCUGUCAUGUAGGUGCUGCGAACUGAACGUAGGACCCUUGGAAGUGCAUCGGGUGCUCUUAACUACAGAGCCAUCUCUCCAAUCCUAUGCUCGCUAUUUUUAAAAAGUAAAGCUUUCAAGUUGUACUCCACAGAGGUAACACUUUUCAUAAUCACUUGUAUGCCAUUCCAAAUACUUUGCAUACUUUGAUGCACAUAUGGCCAAUGAUUUAAAAAGUGGAACAGCAUAACAUCUGCAUGUUUUCUGUUCUUUUGCUCUUCACACAACUUUGUGUAGGUAGACGACUCUGACUGCUUGGUUCAGUUGUUAGCCUGAUACAACCUAGGAGGAGAAUCUCAAUGUGGGGCUGACUAGAUCACGUUGGACUAUAGGCACACCUGGGAGGGAUUGUCUUAAUUGAUGAAGAAAGAUCCAGCCUACUGCGGGCAGCACCACUUCAUGGACUUGGUUUCCUGGACUGUAUAAGAUAGGGAAAAGCCCCUGAGUGCAAGCAAGCAAAUGAAUUUGCACCCAGUUAUUUCUCUGCUCUUGACAGUAGUUGUCAUGUGACUGGCUGCUUCGAACUCCUGCUGCCUUAACUUCCAUGUAAUAAUGGCCCAUUACUGUUUCUCAACCUGUGGGUCAUAACUUCCUUGGAUGUUGAAUGCCCCCUUUGAUAGGGGUCACAUAAGACCAUCAGAAAAUACAGAUAUUUACAUAAUAAUUCAUACAGGAGCAAAAAUAUAGUUAUAAAUUAGCAACAAAAAUCAUUUUGUGGUUGGGGGCUACCACAAAAUGAGGAAUUGUAUUAAAGAGUUACAGUAUUAGGAAGGUUGAGAGCCAUCCACCUAUAUUGUUUAGCUAAAAUAAACCCUUUUUGACUAUCUCACUCUAUCUCUAUUUAUAUCUCUAUCUAUCUAUCUAUCUAUCUAUCUAUUAUCUGUCUCUCUAUAUAUUUGGGUCAGGGUGUUUUAUCAUAGCUUAUAGUAUUCUAUUGUUUGGAUGUUUUCCCUUUAAUAUGAAUAGUGUAAUAGUGACUGUUAAUUGUAUUUCUCUCUCUCUCUCUGGAUGUAUUUGUAUAAUUGUAAGAAUUAUGAAAGUAAAUGUAAUGGGUUAA
rnacentral:lncRNA from 1 species